rnacentral:misc_RNA from 1 species
UUAUUACAAAGAUUAGUGAAGGAUCCUGAUCAGGAAAUGGAGGAAGCUGUAAAAGAUUCUUACAAUAUUACUCUGAAGCCAUGGCAUGGAUGGAUUUCAUCUGCUGCUUAUAGAGUAGCUCUUAAAUUAAUUCCUGAUACGAAGGCCUUCAUUAAUCUCCUCAAGCGAAAAGAUGAAAACAAUGACACACUUACAGAGGAUAUGGAAACCUUCAUUUCACUACUAGUGCCUAUUCUAGAAGAGAUUCACUCCAUUCUGAUAUUUUACAGGUUGGAUAAGUUGAAGUCUACCUGAGGAGAUAACACAGAAUCAAAGCGCAUGUACAUAACCUAUAAUUUUCCUCCAGUUCCUUUGCUGUAAAUAUGAA